UACAGAGGUCCCGAGCGUUUGUUCGGAUUCACUGGGCGUAAAGGGUGCGUAGGUGGUGAGGUAAGUCGGAUGUGAAAUCUCCGAGCUCAACUCGGAAAUGGCAUUGGAAACUACCUUGCUUGAGGGUUGGAGGGGGGGACUGGAAUACUUGGUGUAGCAGUGAAAUGCGUAGAUAUCAAGUGGAACACCAGUGGCGAAGGCGAGUCCCUGGACAACUCCUGACACUGAGGCACGAAAGCUAGGGGAGCAAACAGG
rnacentral:rRNA from 1 species